CGCCCAACGUGGGGCUCGAUCCCACGACCCUGAGAUUAAGAGUCUCAUUUAAGUCCUUUAUUCCAAUAAAACAAAACGGAACAUACAUGGCAAAACAUUGUUAAAAUACAUUACCGACUGAGCUAGCCGGGC